CCGUCGAUAGCUCAGUUGGUAGAGCGGUGGACUGUAGAUCCAUAGGUCGCUGGUUCGAAUCCGGCCCGACGGA
rnacentral:tRNA from 1 species